CCUACGGGCGGCAGCAGUGGGGAAUAUUGGACAAUGGGCGAAAGCCUGAUCCAGCCAUGCCGCGUGUGUGAAGAAGGCCUUCGGGUUGUAAAGCACUUUCAGUGGGGAAGAAAGCCUUGGGGCUAAUACCCUCGAGGAAGGACAUCACCCACAGAAGAAGCACCGGCUAACUCCGUGCCAGCAGCCGCGGUAAUACGGAGGGUGCGAGCGUUAAUCGGCAUUACUGGGCGUAAAGCGCGCGUAGGCGGUCUGAUAAGCCGGUUGUGAAAGCCCCGGGCUCAACCUGGGAACGGCAUCCGGAACUGUCAGGCUAGAGUGCAGGAGAGGAAGGUAGAAUUCCCGGUGUAGCGGUGAAAUGCGUAGAGAUCGGGAGGAAUACCAGUGGCGAAGGCGGCCUUCUGGACUGACACUGACGCUGAGGUGCGAAAGCGUGGGUAGCAAACAGGAUUAGAUACCCGAGUAGUC
rnacentral:rRNA from 1 species